GAUGGGUGACCUCCUGGGAAGGCCUCGUGUUGCAACCC
rnacentral:rRNA from 1 species